rnacentral:rRNA from 1 species
AGCGAACGCUGGCGGCAGGCCUAACACAUGCAAGUCGAACGAAGUCUUCGGACUUAGUGGCGGACGGGUGAGUAACACGUGGGAACGUACCUUUUGGUUCGGAGCAACUCAGGGAAACUUGAGCUAAUACCGGAUGAGCCCUUAGGGGGAAAGAUUUAUCGCCGAAAGAGCGGCCCGCGUUAGAUUAGCUAGUUGGUGAGGUAAAGGCUCACCAAGGCUACGAUCUAUAGCUGGUCUGAGAGGAUGAUCAGCCACACUGGGACUGAGACACGGCCCAGACUCCUACGGGAGGCAGCAGUGGGGAAUCUUGCGCAAUGGGCGAAAGCCUGACGCAGCCAUGCCGCGUGAAUGAUGAAGGUCUUAGGAUUGUAAAAUUCUUUUACCAGGGACGAUAAUGACGGUACCUGGAGAAAAAGCCCCGGCUAACUACGUGCCAGCAGCCGCGGUAACAC